GACGAACGCGGCGGCGUGCUUAACACAUGCAAGUCGAACGGAAAGAGAUGAAAGAGCUUGCUCUUUUAUUAAUUUCAGUGGCAAACGGGUGAGUAACACGUAAACAACCUGCCUUAAGGAUGGGGAUAACAGACGGAAACGACUGCUAAUACCGAAUACGUUCUAAGCAUCGCAUGGUGCAUAGAAGAAAGGGUGGCCUCUACAAGAAAGCUAUCGCCUUAAGAGGGGUUUGCGACUGAUUAGGUAGUUGGUGAGGUAACGGCUCACCAAGCCGACGAUCAGUAGCCGGUCUGAGAGGAUGAACGGCCACACUGGAACUGAGACACGGUCCAGACUCCUACGGGAGGCAGCAGUGGGGAAUCUUCCGCAAUGGACGAAAGUCUGACGGAGCAACGCCGCGUGAACGAAGAAGGUCUUCGGAUUGUAAAGUUCUGUGAUUCGGGACGAAAGGGUUUGUGGUGAAUAAUCAUAGACAUUGACGGUACCGAAAAAGCAAGCCAC
rnacentral:rRNA from 1 species